rnacentral:rRNA from 1 species
AUUGAACGCUGGCGGCAUGCUUUACUCAUGCAAGUCGAACGGUAACAGGCCGCAAGGUGCUGACGAGUGGCGAACGGGUGAGUAAUGCAUCGGAACGUGCACAGUCGUGGGGGAUAACUACUCGAAAGAGUAGCUAAUACCGCAUACGAUCUAUGGAUGAAAGCGGGGGACCGUAAGGCCUCGCGCGAUUGGAGCGGCCGAUGUCAGAUUAGGUAGUUGGUGGGGUAAAGGCUCACCAAGCCAACGAUCUGUAGCUGGUCUGAGAGGACGACCAGCCACACUGGGACUGAGACACGGCCCAGACUCCUACGGGAGGCAGCAGUGGGGAAUUUUGGACAAUGGGCGCAAGCCUGAUCCAGCAAUGCCGCGUGCAGGAAGAAGGCCUUCGGGUUGUAAACUGCUUUUGUACGGAACGAAACGGCUCUGGUUAAUACCCGGGGCUAAUGACGGUACCGUAAGAAUAAGCACCGGCUAACUACGUG